CCGCUUUAAUUUCCCUCCACCCACUAAAACACUUGUCAAUUAACUUUUUAACAUAUCUUCGGAUCCAUUCGGUUCUGCAAAACCCUAACACAGCCGCCAUAACUUCCGCUGGAACACCCUCUCCCCUGCUACAGCAGUCUCACCACCACUACAUGACCACCACAGUGCACCAGCACCAGUAACCACCACUCGAUGACCACCACAGCGUACCGUCUCCACAGCCGUAAGCCACCGCCACUCUUAUAGUUCUUGGAUUGAGUGGUUCAGAGAUUUCAGAGAUGAGGAAACCGUUGCAGUCAUAUAUUUUAGAGUUGGAUAUGCACCCACCGAUUAUCCGUCUUUAAACAAUGAGUAGAAUCUUGAGAGUUCUUGUUAAAAAAUAUUUUGUUUUAUUUAUAAUUGAGUACGAUUUGAAGUUUAUGUAUUUUGUAGGAGUAGAAAGCUAGACUAUUGAUGGAAGAGUCUUCAACUAUUAAGCGCCCUUCAAUCUCUUAUCUUAUUGGCACUAUGAAAGUUUACCAAGAGCUUGCAAAAUCAAAUGUGCUUGAGAGGUACAAAUUUUGACUCAAAGUUUGGAGGAGAUGCAAGCAAGACAUGAGACACAACAAAAGGAGAUUGACGAGAUGAAAAGGCGUGAAGAAAAGCAAAAAAAAGAACUAGAAGAACUGAGAGCAAAAAGUGAAGUCGGAACAAAAGAAGCGAAAGCCGCCAUUGCCGCCAUGAUGAAGUUCUUACCUGAUAUGACGCUACCGACACCACCGGCCUAAAUCUUAGGAUUUAUUAAAACUUUGUUAGUUUGAAUUAUUCAAAACUUUAACUUUUGAAUGAUGUUAUGAAUGUUUCUUUGAUGGAUGUAUUUUGAAUUUAGGUAAUGGAUAUUAUGCAUUUUAGUA